UCGAGAAUCUUCCGCAAUGGACGAAAGUCUGACGGAGCGAUGUCGCGUGAUGGAUGAAGAGCUUCGGUUUGUAAACAUCUUUUAUGCGGGAAGAACGUUGACGGUACCGCAUGAAUAAGGGGUUGCUAAACUCGUGCCAGCAGCAGCGGUAAUACGAGUACCCCGAGCAUUAUCCGGAAUUAUUGGGCGUAAAGGGUGAGUAGGCGGUGCAACUAGUCGGGUGUUAAAUUCCAGAGCUUAACUUUGGAUCCGCACUCGAAACGGUUGUGCUAGAGGAUGUGAGAGGUGAACGGAACUCAUAGUGUAGGGGUGAAAUCCGUUGAUAUUAUGGGGAACACCAAAUGCGAAGGCAGUUCACUGGCACAUUUCUGACGCUCAAUCACGAAAGCGUAGGUAGCGA
rnacentral:rRNA from 1 species